rnacentral:sRNA from 1 species
CUUAUUUUUUCUUCUCCUUUU